AGAGUUUGAUCCUGGCUCAGAACGAACGCUGGCGGCAGGCUUAACACAUGCAAGUCGAGCGCCCCGCAAGGGGAGCGGCAGACGGGUGAGUAACGCGUGGGAAUCUACCCUUUUCUACGGAAUAACGCAGGGAACUUGUGCUAAUACCGUAUACGCCCUUCGGGGGAAAGAUUUAUCGGGAAAGGAUGAGCCCGCGUUGGAUUAGCUAGUUGGUGGGGUAAAGGCCUACCAAGGCGACGAUCCAUAGCUGGUCUGAGAGGAUGAUCAGCCACAUUGGGACUGAGACACGGCCCAAACUCCUACGGGAGGCAGCAGUGGGGAAUAUUGGACAAUGGGCGCAAGCCUGAUCCAGCCAUGCCGCGUGAGUGAUGAAGGCCCUAGGGUUGUAAAGCUCUUUCACCGGUGAAGAUAAUGACGGUAACCGGAGAAGAAGCCCCGGCUAACUUCGUGCCAGCAGCCGCGGUAAUACGAAGGGGGCUAGCGUUGUUCGGAAUUACUGGGCGUAAAGCGCACGUAGGCGGACAUUUAAGUCAGGGGUGAAAUCCCGGGGCUCAACCCCGGAACUGCCUUUGAUACUGGGUGUCUAGAGUAUGGAAGAGGUGAGUGGAAUUCCGAGUGUAGAGGUGAAAUUCGUAGAUAUUCGGAGGAACACCAGUGGCGAAGGCGGCUCACUGGUCCAUUACUGACGCUGAGGUGCGAAAGCGUGGGGAGCAAACAGGAUUAGAUACCC
rnacentral:rRNA from 1 species